AAUCAUUCCAUACAACAAAUAUAGUAGAUCUAUUGCAUAAUAGUAUGAGAAAACAGACCAAAACACAAAAACUUAACUAUAACCACUGAACCAUGAAAAUGAGGUCAAGGUCAGAUGACACCUGCCAGUUGGACAUGUACACCUUACAGUCCUUCCAUACACCAAAUAUACUAGCCCUAUUGCUUAUAGUAUCUGAGAUAUGGACUUGACCACCAAAACUUAACCUUGUUCACUGAUCCAUGAAAUGAGGUCAGGUCAAGUGAAAACCGUCUGACGGGCAUGAGGACCUUGCAAGGUACGCACAUACCAAAUAUAAUUAUUCUAUUACUUAUAAUAAGAGAGAAUUCAACAUUACAAAAACUCUGAUCUUUUUUUUCAAGUGGUCACUGAACCAUGAAAAUGAGGUCAAGGACAUUUGACAUGUGACUGACGGAAACUUCGUAACAUGAGGCAUCUAUAUACAAAGUAUGAAGCAUCCAGGUCUUCCACCUUCUAAAAUAUUAAGCUUUUAAAAAGUUAGCUAACGCCGCCGCCCGAUCACUAUCCCUAUGUCGAGCUUUCUGCAACAAAAGUUGCAGGCUCGACAAAAAAAACAUCCUGCUGCUCGAACAUUGAUUAAAAUUUCAUUCCAAAUGCUGUAUGCAAGAAUAAAAAUAAUAAGGUGUAAUGAAAUACUUCAAAUAUGUACAAUUGAAUAAAAUAGCACACAAAUAAACUUUUAUCAACAAAAUUAUGUAAUG
rnacentral:lncRNA from 1 species